rnacentral:rRNA from 1 species
AACGAACGCUGGCGGCAUGCCUAACACAUGCAAGUCGAACGAGGCCUUCGGGUCUAGUGGCGCACGGGUGCGUAACGCGUGGGAACCUGCCCUUAGGUUCGGAAUAACUCCCCGAAAGGGGUGCUAAUACCGGAUAAUGUCUUCGCACCAAAGAUUUAUCGCCUUUGGAUGGGCCCGCGUUGGAUUAGCUAGUUGGUAGGGUAAAAGCCUACCAAGGCGACGAUCCAUAGCUGGUCUGAGAGGAUGAUCAGCCACACUGGGACUGAGACACGGCCCAGACUCCUACGGGAGGCAGCAGUGGGGAAUAUUGGACAAUGGGCGAAAGCCUGAUCCAGCAAUGCCGCGUGAGUGAUGAAGGCCUUAGGGUUGUAAAGCUCUUUUACCCGGGAUGAUAAUGACAGUACCGGGAGAAUAAGCUCCGGCUAACUCCGUG